UACAGAGGGUGCGAGCGUUGUCCGGAAUCACUGGGCGUAAAGGGCGCGUAGGCGGCCUGCUAAGUCGAGGGUGAAAUCCUGCGGCUCAACCGCAGGGCUGCCUUCUAAACUGUCAGGCUGGAGCACGGUAGAGGCAGAUGGAAUUCCCGGUGUAGCGGUGGAAUGCGUAGAGAUCGGGAAGAACACCAGUGGCGAAGGCGGUCUGCUGGGCAGUUGCUGACGCUGAGGCGCGACAGCGUGGGGAGCAAACAGG
rnacentral:rRNA from 1 species